rnacentral:snRNA from 1 species
GGUUCAGAGAAGAUUAACAUGGCCCCUGUGCAAGGAUGGCACGCACAAAUCAAGAAAUGGUCCAAUCUUUU